rnacentral:rRNA from 1 species
UACGUAGGGGGCUAGCGUUGUCCGGAAUCAUUGGGCGUAAAGAGCUCGUAGGCGGUCUGUCGCGUCGGAUGUGAAACCUCGGGGCUCAACCCCGAGCCUGCAUUCGAUACGGGCAGACUAGAGUUCGGUAGGGGAGACUGGAAUUCCUGGUGUAGCGGUGAAAUGCGCAGAUAUCAGGAGGAACACCGGUGGCGAAGGCGGGUCUCUGGGCCGAUACUGACGCUGAGGAGCGAAAGCGUGGGGAGCGAACAGG